rnacentral:rRNA from 1 species
UUGAAAGGGAAACGAUUGAAGUCAGUCGUACUGGCGGGGAAUCAACUUCUCGAGUGCUUGUCGUGGGUGACGUUGAGCUUCACGGCCUUCGUUGCUUACGUUAUGGUGCUUUUGAGGUGUACUUUUCCGUAUGGUAGGUCAACAUCGAUUUUGAUCGUCAUAAAAUGAUCGGAGGAAUGUGGCUCUGAUUUCGGUUGGAGUGUUAUAGCCUUUGGUAGAUGUGACGAUUGGGAUCGAGGAUUGCAACGAAUACCCUUUGGGCUAUCCGUCUGACCUCUGAAAGUCGCUCGGGUGUUGAAAGCGUGCUUAUGACAUUCUAGUUGGCGGUCAAAAGGUUAAAACGUGAUUACAUUCGUUAAGGAUGU